rnacentral:rRNA from 1 species
UACGUAGGGUGCGAGCGUUGUUCGGAUUUACUGGGCGUAAAGGGCGCGUAGGCGGUCAGCACAAGUCAGUUGUGAAAUCUCCGGGCUUAACUCGGAAAGGUCAACUGAUACUGUGCGACUAGAGUGCGGAAGGGGCAACUGGAAUUCUCGGUGUAGCGGUGAAAUGCGUAGAUAUCGUAAGGAAGACCAGUGGCGAAGGCGGAUCUCUGGACAGUUACUGACACUGAGGCACGAAGGCCAGGGGAGCAAACGGG